rnacentral:lncRNA from 1 species
CUGAGGGAAGGGCAGAAGGAACCUCAGUGUGUGCCCCUGAAGCCCUCCUCCUUGGAUGCCAGGGAAGCUGGGGCCUGCUCCACACAGGACUGGCCCGUCUGUGGUGGGGGAAGGGAGGGUCUGCAGACCUGCCACCGGGAAGAUGCAUGUUUGCCGAUCCUUGGUUGCUAAUACUGAGUGCUGAUUUGGAAAAGCUGACCCCUUGACGUAUUUCUGUCUCCCUGGAGCAGGGCAGUUGACGUUUUUGUGCACAGACCUUUGCAGAUACUGUAGCAGCACUCCAGCCGCUUGAGGGUAGGGCUGAGGUGGGGUCCCCAGAAGGCUUUCCAGAGAGCCGUCCUGGC